rnacentral:rRNA from 1 species
UGGGGAAUAUUGGGCAAUGGGCGAAAGCCUGACCCAGCGACGCCGUGUGGGUGAUGAAGGCCUUCGGGUUGUAAAGCCCUGUUGGGUGGAAAGAAGGGUUCAGAGACGAAUAAUCUCUGAGCUUUGACGGUACCACCAGAGAAAGCACCGGCUAACUCUGUGCCAGCAGUCGCGGUAAGACAGAGGAGGCAAGCGUUGUUCGGAAUCACUGGGCUUAAAGCGCGUGUAGGCGGCUUAGAAAGUGUCGUGUGAAAUCCCGCGGCUCAACCGCGGAACUGCACGGCAAACUACUUGGCUUGAGGUCGGUAGAGGUGCCUGGAACUCUAGGUGGAGCGGUGAAAUGCGUAGAUAUCUAGAGGAACGCCAGAAGCGAAAGCGGGGCACUGGGCCGAUUCUGACGCUGAGACGCGAAAGCGUGGGGAGCAAACA